rnacentral:rRNA from 1 species
AUUGAACGCUGGCGGCAGGCCUAACACAUGCAAGUCGAGCGAGCGGCGGACGGGUGAGUAAUGUAUGGGGAUCUGCCCGAUAGAGGGGGAUAACUACUGGAAACGGUGGCUAAUACCGGAUACUUAUAGAUGGAUCCGCGCUGCAUUAGCUAGUUGGUAAGGUAACGGCUUACCAAGGCAACGAUGCAUAGCCGACCUGAGAGGGUGAUCGGCCACACUGGAACUGAGACACGGUCCAGACUCCUACGUGAGGCAGCAGUGGGGAAUAUUGCACAAUGGGCGCAAGCCUGAUGCAGCCAUGCCGCGUGUAUGAAGAAGGCCUUAGGGUUGUAAAGUACUUUCAGCGGGGAGGCGUUACCCGCAGAAGAAGCACCGGCUAACUCCGUGCCAGCAGCCGCGGUAAUUC